rnacentral:rRNA from 1 species
UACGUAGGGUGCGAGCGUUGUCCGGAAUUAUUGGGCGUAAAGGGCUCGUAGGCGGUUUGUCGCGUCGGGAGUGAAAACACCGGGCUUAACUCGGUGCUUGCUUUCGAUACGGGCAGACUAGAGGUAUGCAGGGGAGAACGGAAUUCCUGGUGUAGCGGUGAAAUGCGCAGAUAUCAGGAAGAACACCUAUGGCGAAGGCAGCUCUCUGGGACGGUACUGACGCUGAGACGCGAAAGCGUGGGGAGCGAACAGG